rnacentral:rRNA from 1 species
UACGUAGGUGGCAAGCGUUGUCCGGAAUUAUUGGGCGUAAAGCGCGCGCAGGCGGUUCCUUAAGUCUGAUGUGAAAGCCCACGGCUCAACCGUGGAGGGUCAUUGGAAACUGGGGAACUUGAGUGCAGAAGAGAAGAGCGGAAUUCCACGUGUAGCGGUGAAAUGCGUAGAGAUGUGGAGGAACACCAGUGGCGAAGGCGACUACCUGGCCUGUUCUUGACGCUGAGGCGCGAAAGCUAGGGGAGCAAACGGGAUUAGAAACCCGUGUAGU